rnacentral:rRNA from 1 species
AUGCAAGUCGAACGGACAAUUAUUUAUAGCUUUUGGCUAUAGGCAAUUGUUAGUGGCAGACGGGUGAGUAAUGCGUAGGAAUCUACCUAGUAGUACGGAAUAGCCAUUAGAAAUGAUGGGUAAUACUGUAUAAUCCCCGCGGGGGAAAGAUUUAUCGCUAUUAGAUGAGCCUACGUUAGAUUAGCUAGUUGGUAAGGUAAUGGCUUACCAAGGCUAUGAUCUAUAGCUGGUCUGAGAGGACGAUCAGCCACACUGGAACUGAGAUACGGUCCAGACUCCUACGGGAGGCAGCAGUGGGGAAUAUUGGACAAUGGGCGAAAGCCUGAUCCAGCUAUGCCGCGUGAGUGAAGAAGGCCUUCGGGUUGUAAAACUCUUUCAAUAGGGAAGAUAAUGACGGUACCUAUAGAAGAAGUCCCGGCAAACUCUGUGCCAGCAGCCGCGGUAAUACGGAGGGGGCAAGCGUUGUUCGGAAUUAUUGGGCGUAAAGGGCACGUAGGUGGACUAGUAAGUUAAAAGUGAAAUACCAAAGCUUAACUUUGGAGCGGCUUUUAAUACUGCUAGACUAGAG